GCCGUGGCAGCUCGAUUGGACGAGCAGCGGGCUUCUACCCCGACGGCUGGAGGUUCGAGCCCUCCCUGCGGCGCCA
rnacentral:tRNA from 1 species